rnacentral:rRNA from 1 species
AGAGUUUGAUCCUGGCUCAGGACGAACGCUGGCGGCGUGCUUAACACAUGCAAGUCGAACGAGACCUUCGGGUCGAGUGGCGGACGGGUGAGUAACACGUAGGUAAUCUGCCUCUCAAUGGGGGAUACCUGGCCGAAAGGUCAGUUAAUACCGCAUACGCUCCACGGUUGGGAUACUGUGGAGGAAAGAUUUAUCGUUGA